CUGCAGCUAACGCAUUAAGCAUUCCGCCUGGGGAGUACGGCCGCAAGGCUGAAACUCAAAGGAAUUGACGGGGGCCCGCACAAGCGGUGGAGCAUGUGGUUUAAUUCGAAGCUACGCGAAGAACCUUACCAGGUCUUGACAUACUAUGCAAAUCUAAGAGAUUAGACGUUCCCUUCGGGGACAUGGAUACAGGUGGUGCAUGGUUGUCGUCAGCUCGUGUCGUGAGAUGUUGGGUUAAGUCCCGCAACGAGCGCAACCCUUAUUAUCAGUUGCCAGCAUUAAGUUGGGCACUCUGGUGAGACUGCCGGUGACAAACCGGAGGAAGGUGGGGAUGACGUCAAAUCAUCAUGCCCCUUAUGACCUGGGCUACACACGUGCUACAAUGGAUGGUACAACGAGUUGCGAACUCGCGAGAGUAAGCUAAUCUCUUAAAGCCAUUCUCAGUUCGGAUUGUAGGCUGCAACUCGCCUACAUGAAGUCGGAAUCGCUAGUAAUCGCGGAUCAGCAUGCCGCGGUGAAUACGUUCCCG
rnacentral:rRNA from 1 species